CCUUUAGGGCUGGGUAGUGAAUUCAAUACUUUUAAGGCACCGACCAAAUUGCCUUCUAAAGUAUCAAGUAUUGAGAAAUGCCUCAUCAUUCAAUACCUAAUUUCAAUACCUAAGGAGUAAAUCUUAUCAGCGACGGUGAGCCAAUAAGCAUGCAGCAUGCUUAUACCAAGAUCUAAUAAUGCUGCUGAUUGGCUGUCUAACAUUACACAUCGCAGAGACAGGCAGGAAAAACUCAUUACACACAUAGACAGGGCUCACGUAUAAGGAGCUGAAAAAUAAAUAAAAUGAUUUGUGCCGUAAUGUGUAAAAUUGCAAUUUGUUUUGUUAAAUCUUUUGUUAAA